rnacentral:rRNA from 1 species
GACGAACGCUGGCGGCGUGCUUAACACAUGCAAGUCGAACGGUAAGGCCCUUCGGGGUACACGAGUGGCGAACGGGUGAGUAACGCGUGGGUGAUCUGCCCUGCACUUCGGGAUAAGCCUGGGAAACUGGGUCUAAUACCGGAUAGGACCACUGCCUGCAUGGGUGGUGGUGGAAAGCUUUUGCGGUGUGGGAUGGGCCCGCGGCCUAUCAGCUUGUUGGUGGGGUGAUGGCCUACCAAGGCGACGACGGGUAGCCGGCCCGAGAGGGUGACCGGCCACACUGGGACUGAGAUACGGCCCAGACUCCUACGGGAGGCAGCAGUGGGGAAUAUUGCACAAUGGGCGCAAGCCUGAUGCAGCGACGCCGCGUGAGGGAUGACGGCCUUCGGGUUGUAAACCUCUUUCAGCACCGACGAAGCGCAAGUGACGGUAGGUGCAGAAGAAGGACCGGCCAACUACGUGCCAGCCGCCGCAGUAA